rnacentral:rRNA from 2 species
UCUCCUGGAAACGGGUGGUAAUGCCGGAUGCUCCGACUCCUCGCAUGGGGUGUCGGGAAAGAUUUCAUCGGUAUGGGAUGGGGUCGCGUCCUAUCAGGUAGUCGGCGGGGUAACGGCCCACCGAGCCUACGACGGGUAGCCGGCCUGAGAGGGCGACCGGCCACAUUGGGACUGAGAUACGGCCCAGACUCCUACGGGAGGCAGCAGUGGGGAAUAUUGCACAAUGGGCGCAAGCCUGAUGCAGCGACGCCGCGUGCGGGAUGACGGCCUUCGGGUUGUAAACCGCUUUUGAUCGGGAGCAAGCCUUCGGGUGAGUGUACCUUUCGAAUAAGCACCGGCUAACUACGUGCCAGCAGCCGCGGUAAUACGUAGGGUGCAAGCGUUAUCCGGAAUUAUUGGGCGUAAAGGGCUCGUAGGCGGUUCGUCGCGUCCGGUGUGAAAGUCCAUCGCUUAACGGUGGAUCUGCGCCGGGUACGGGCGGGCUGGAGUGCGGUAGGGGAGACUGGAAUUCCCGGUGUAACGGUGGAAUGUGUAGAUAUCGGGAAGAACACC